rnacentral:rRNA from 1 species
UACGGAGGAUGCAAGCGUUAUCCGGAAUGAUUGGGAGUAAAGGGUCCGCAGGUGGCAUUGUAAGUCUGCUGUUAAAGAGUCACGCUCAACGUGAUAAGAGCAGUGGAAAUUACAAAGCUAGAGUAUGUUCGGGGCAGAGGGAAAUCCUGGUGUAGCGGUGAAAUGCGUAGAUAUCAGGAAGAACACCGGUGGCGAAAGCGUUCUGCUAGACCAAAACUGACACUGAGGACGAAAGCUAGGGGAGCGAAUGGG